rnacentral:misc_RNA from 1 species
GUCAUUGCGAAAAAUAUCAUAUUAGAGCUUGGCAGUCAGGAGAUGAACUGUAGUUAAGCGUGAAAUACUUCAAAUUGAAAUUUGGCUGAUCUUUCUUACACUGCUGAAAAAGAAAAAUGAGAGCAGGAUCAAGUUUGAGUUUUCCCAGGUUCCGGCUGGGCUGGUGGAAUGAAAAAUAAAUGGAAUUGAAAUGCUGUAGACUCAUGUAAAACAGGGCACACCGGGCAACCUGAAGAGCUGCGACAUUGGAAACUUCGAGCUGUCCUGUCACUGAAGCGGCCGCCGUGUGGAGACCGAGCUAGGACAGGAGCUGUUGGUGAACAAGAACCUGAACAGGCACUUAUAGAAGGCGAAGCACACAAAAGUGGACACAUGUGCGACAUUGAUGCAACGCUUAGGUAGCGGGUUAUUUUGCGAUAAUCCGCCGGGCGAGACACGUUCUUAGCGGCGGAAAACGAGCCGUAGCUGCUGACAGCAAUCUCACAAAUGCGUCGUGAUUGUAAACUGGAAACGGCUCUGGUGAACCCGUAUCGUUGAAGCUCUCCUUUCCCUCAUCCUUCGAAGGACAGUCAGAGCCCUCCCGCCGUCCACGAUGCUUCUGGGCCACGACCGCGCCGUCAGUAUCAGCCUGCUGAGCCUCGCGGGUCUGGUCUCCGCCUACGUGCUAUUCUGGCUGCUGGGACUACCGUUCGUGGAUGAGGGACACCCGCUACUGCUGUGGUUCCCCUCCCCGCUCUGGGCGGUGGUGCCGGCCGCUGGUGUCGUGGUGGUGCUGCUAGCGGUGGUGGUGUGGGAGAUGAUAACGGCGCGGUGAUCGAGAUGCCGUGGGAUGGACUGUGGGGUGGAUCGAGACGUGGGCUGUGGACCGAGACAUGUGGACAUUAAAAGUGUGAAGCUGGAAGGUGAUUGACCAUCGAGUGACGUUCAUCAUACGCCGUUCAGACAUACGGUAGGCUGUGCUGGUUGUUUUGUAUGUGACUCGAUCUCCUCCUCACUGUGAACUGAAAAGCAAACUGUGACCUGAUGGUCUCAGGAAGGACAUGAUCCGGCGACUGAGGCCUGUACUGACUGCUGAUUGACGGUUUUUGAUGAACCAACCAGCCACUGUGAUGGACUUUGACAGCGUCACCCAAAGCGGCCACCGACUUCGCAGUGAUCGAUGUCACCAACGCAGUGGAAUUGUAAGCAUGUUUGUAACGUGUGCGAUCAGUUAAUGACUAAAAGCAUUGUCACGCCCCGCAUCGCUGUAUCAAAUAACAUGCAGAGGGAACAGCGAAGAAUAGUUUUAUCAACUAAAAU